rnacentral:rRNA from 1 species
GUUGUUCCCUUGAGGAGUGGCUUCCGGAGCUAACGCGUUAAGUCGACCGCCUGGGGAGUACGGCCGCAAGGUUAAAACUCAAAUGAAUUGACGGGGGCCCGCACAAGCGGUGGAGCAUGUGGUUUAAUUCGAUGCAACGCGAAGAACCUUACCUACUCUUGACAUCCACGGAAUUUGGCAGAGAUGCCUUAGUGCCUUCGGGAACCGUGAGACAGGUGCUGCAUGGCUGUCGUCAGCUCGUGUUGUGAAAUGUUGGGUUAAGUCCCGCAACGAGCGCAACCCUUAUCCUUUGUUGCCAGCGAUUCGGUCGGGAACUCAAAGGAGACUGCCGGUGAUAAACCGGAGGAAGGUGGGGAUGACGUCAAGUCAUCAUGGCCCUUACGAGUAGGGCUACACACGUGCUACAAUGGCGCAUACAAAGAGAAGCGACCUCGCGAGAGCAAGCGGACCUCACAAAGUGCGUCGUAGUCCGGAUCGGAGUCUGCAACUCGACUCCGUGAAGUCGGAAUCGCUAGUAAUCGUGGAUCAGAAUGCCACGGUGAAUACGUUCCCGGGCCUUGUACACACCGCCCGUCACACCAUGGGAGUGGGUUGCAAAAGA